rnacentral:rRNA from 1 species
UACGUAGGGGGCGAGCGUUGUCCGGAAUUACUGGGCGUAAAGGGCGCGCAGGCGGCCGUGUAAGUCCGCUGUGAAAGACCGGGGCUCAACCCCGGGGUGUCAGCGGGGACUGCACGGCUGGAGUCCCGGAGGGGGAGGCGGAAUACCUGGUGUAGCGGUGGAAUGCGUAGAGAUCCGGAAGAACACCGGUGGCGAAGGCGGCCUGCUGGGCAGUUGCUGACACUGAGGCGCGACAGCGUGGGGAGCAAACAGG